rnacentral:lncRNA from 10 species
CCUCCUCAUUGCCUUAAAAGCAUCCAGUUUAAUUAAAAUAAGAUUUAAAACUUAUAAGUAUUUAUGGGGUUUUUUUGUUUUUGUUUUUUGUUUUUUUGAGACAGAGUCUCUCUGUGUCACCCAGGCUGGAGUGCAGUGGCACAGUCUUGGUUCACUGCAGCCUCGACCUCCUGUGCUCAAGCAAUCCUCCCUACUCGGCCCCCCAGUAGUUGGGACUACAGGUGCACACCAGCACGCCUGGCAAUUUUUGUAUUUUUUAUAGAGACAGGAUUUCACCAUGUUGCCCAGGCUGGUCUGAAACUCCUAGCCUCAAGCGAUCCUCCCACCUUGGCCUCCCAAAGUGCUGCAUUACAGGCAUGAGCCACUGUGCUUGGCUCAAGAAGAAAGGAUAUUAUUUCCUUCUUUUUCUUUUUUCUUUUUCUUUUUUUUUGGACAGAGUCUCACUCUGUCGCCAGGUUGCAGUGAGCUGAGAUCGCACCACUGCACUCCAGCCUGGGCGACAGAGCGAGACUCUGUCUCAAAAAAC